CCCGUAUUAUAAAGAUUCAGCGUAAGUUGGAUUCAUCAUUAUAAUCCAGCGUAUCUCACAAUCAACUGUAACUCAAUAGCCGAUUUCCGUAUUAUAAACGCCCUUGGAAAUCAAGCGUGAGUUACAAUGGAUUCGCGGUUAAAAAACUAUAGUUUAUAAUUAAAGAGGCGACUAGCGGCAAGGCUACGACUUGGCUCAUGCGCAGUUGCACUAUUUUGCUUUCAGUGUCGUCUACCAUCGUCAGCGCAACAAUGAACCCCAAUGAACCCAAUUUCUGAGCUUGACAUUGUUUUUCGUAGCAAUUCCGAAAAUGUACAGAGAGACUUGUUGCCAUACCAAAUGCUUGCCUUCUUUGAGAAUGUGCUUGAAACAAAAAAUGUCCUGGAGAGAACAGACCACCAUGCACCAUGAGAGAAGGAAUUGAGAAGGACGGCUUCCUGUCGAGAGAUCAUGGGGUGCCUUGAGGUUCCAGCCUUGAAUGUCUGCCCUUUACCUCAAAACGAUGGCCUCUUGUAGGAGCAAAGCACAAUGGACUGGUGCCUGUACAUGUAAUGCAGAAGCUCAUGAUGAUAUGGUAGACACAACGAGGACCUUGCUGUCUUAAGCUCAGAGGCCAGAUGACAGAGUCUGAAGUACAUCCAGCUUGUCAGAAUUGGUUACAAAGAUGCAAGUGGACUUGUCUUCAGUAGUGGCUAAAGAGGAGCAGUCAGCAGAAGGAGCGUGCAACUCCAAAACAAUGUGGAUACCUCUCUCAAGUUCAUCUGUAAUCAGACACAUGGCUCUUCAGGAAUCAAGAUAAGACAGUGGAGGUAGAGGAGUCUGUGACCCUCCUGACUGUGGACUACUUGCAUUAUACAUGUACUAAAUUAAUGGAUUGAAGCACUACUGCACAAAACUCGACCAGCCAUUUUGAACAAAUCGUAAUAAACACUUGAUGAAGCAUUGAUUUAUGUAACUGGUAUUAGCCUUAAGGUACAGUUAAGGUUCUAAAUUUGAUAAGAAACCUCAAGAACCUCAAGCUGCAACCCCCCUCCCCCUCUGCUCUCCUGUAAACCCUUCGAGCAAGGGAUCAAAUGAAUUAAAAUCCUAACUUAAUUACUAAUGAAUUGAUCUGUUAAUUAUUGUCAUCAUUUCAGGAUAGUUCUUUGUGUGGAGAUCAGUGAAUGGAUAUUUCCAUGUACAAUGCAAGUGAGGUGUCCAUCUUCACUGGACAUGAAGGCUGAUUUUCAAGGAGAGAAGCAAGAUAGAUUGAUGUGAACUUAAUGACAUAGGGAAUGUUUCCCUGUAUUGUCGGAUUGAGGUUUGAAUGGCAUGGAUGUUGAAUAAUGUGAAGUUAGUGAAAAGAAUGG